rnacentral:rRNA from 1 species
AACGAACGCUGGCGGCAGGCUUAACACAUGCAAGUCGAGCGCGUAGCAAUACGAGCGGCAGACGGGUGAGUAACGCGUGGGAACGUACCCUUUCUACGGAAUAACGCAGGGAAACUUGUGCUAAUACCGUAUACGCCCUUUUGGGGAAAGAUUUAUCGGGGAAGGAUCGGCCCGCGUUGGAUUAGCUAGUUGGUGGGGUAAAGGCCUACCAAGGCGACGAUCCAUAGCUGGUCUGAGAGGAUGAUCAGCCACAUUGGGACUGAGACACGGCCCAAACUCCUACGGGAGGCAGCAGUGGGGAAUAUUGGACAAUGGGCGCAAGCCUGAUCCAGCCAUGCCGCGUGAGUGAUGAAGGCCCUAGGGUUGUAAAGCUCUUUCACCGGAGAAGAUAAUGACGGUAUCCGGAGAAGAAGCCCCGGCUAACUUCGUGCCAGCAGCCGCGGUAAGGAUGAGACGU